rnacentral:rRNA from 1 species
GAUGAACGCUGGCGGCGUGCCUAAUACAUGCAAGUCGAGCGAACAGACGAGGAGCUUGCUUCUCUGACGUUAGCGGCGGACGGGUGAGUAACACGUGGAUAACCUACCUAUAAGACUGGGAUAACUUCGGGAAACCGGAGCUAAUACCGGAUAAUAUAUUGAACCGCAUGGUUCAAUAGUGAAAGACGGUUUUGCUGUCACUUAUAGAUGGAUCUGCGCCGCAUUAGCUAGUUGGUAGGGUAACGGCUUACCAAGGCAACGAUGCGUAGCCGACCUGAGAGGGUGAUCGGCCACACUGGAACUGAGACACGGUCCAGACUCCUACGGGAGGCAGCAGUAGGGAAUCUUCCGCAAUGGGCGAAAGCCUGACGGAGCAACGCCGCGUGAGUGAUGAAGGUCUUCGGAUCGUAAAACUCUGUUAUUAGGGAAGAACAAAUGUGUAAGUAACUAUGCACGUCUUGACGGUACCUAAUCAGAAAGCCACGGCUAACUACGUG